rnacentral:lncRNA from 1 species
GUUUUCAUUUAUAUGACGUCACGUUAAGCCGUAACGUCUGUGUGCAAAAACCAUUCAUAAAGUUUCGCGGAAUUUUAUUUUAUUUCAUCUCAUAAAUGUACAUUUUCAUGCCCCCGCCGUAGCAAGGGGGUAUUGAGUUUUAUCCUUGUCUGUUUGUACGUCCAUCCGAAUGUACGUCCGUUUUACAAAAUUGGUUUCCGUUCUAUAACUUUAGUUUGCCUCAACCAUCUGAUAUAUAGAACUUAUGCAUAAUGCUUUUUACCACAAAAACACAGAAUAAAUUUGAAUUUUGAUGUCGUCACUUUUACAGUUCUAGA